UCCCUCGUGUCUUAGUUCGUAAAGAAUCUGCCUGCAAUGCAGGAGACCCAGGUUCGAUCCCUGGGUCGGGAA
rnacentral:tRNA from 1 species